GAUCAUGGCUCAGAACGAACGCUGGCGGCAGGUCUAGGCAUGCAAGUCGAACGGGUGUAGCAAUACAUCAGUGGCGCACGAGUGAGUAACGCGUGGGAAGCUACCAUCACUGGGGAAUAACGUUUGGAAACGAACGCUAAUACCGCAUACGCCCGAAAGGGGAAAGAUUUAUCGGUGAUGGAUGUGCCCGCGUUGGAUUAGCUUGUUGGUGGGGUAACGGCCUACCAAGGCGAUGAUCCAUAGCUGGUCUGAGAGGACGAUCAGCCACGCUGGGACUGAGACACGGCCCAGACUCCUACGGGAGGCAGCAGCUAAGAAUAUUGGACAAUGGGGGAAACCCUGAAUCCAGCCAUGCCGCGUGAAUGAAGAAGGCCUUCGGGUUGUAAAGUUCUUUUAGUAGUGAAGAUGAUGACAGUAGCUACAGAAAAAGCACCGGCUAACUUCGUGCCAGCCGCCGC
rnacentral:rRNA from 1 species